rnacentral:rRNA from 1 species
CAUGGCAAGUCGAGCGGACAGAUGGGAGCUUGCUCCCUGAUGUUAGCGGCGGACGGGUGAGUAACACGUGGGUAACCUGCCUGUAAGACUGGGAUAACUCCGGGAAACCGGGGCUAAUACCGGAUGGUUGUCUGAACCGCAUGGUUCAGACAUAAAAGGUGGCUUCGGCUACCACUUACAGAUGGACCCGCGGCGCAUUAGCUAGUUGGUGAGGUAACGGCUCACCAAGGCGACGAUGCGUAGCCGACCUGAGAGGGUGAUCGGCCACACUGGGACUGAGACACGGCCCAGACUCCUACGGGAGGCAGCAGUAGGGAAUCUUCCGCAAUGGACGAAAGUCUGACGGAGCAACGCCGCGUGAGUGAUGAAGGUUUUCGGAUCGUAAAGCUCUGUUGUUAGGGAAGAACAAGUGCCGUUCAAAUAGGGCGGCACCUUGACGGUACCUAACCAGAAAGCCACGGCUAACUACGUGCCAGCAGCCGCGGUAAUACUUAGGUGGCAAGCGUUGUCCGGAAUUAUUGGGCGUAAAGGGCUCGCAGGCCGUUUCUUAACUCUGAUGUGAAAGCCCCCGGCUCAAACGGGGAGGGGCAAUGGAAACUGGGGAAACUUG